GACGAACGCUGGCGGCGUGCUUAACACAUGCAAGUCGAACGGAAAGGCCCGCCUUGCCUGGUGCUCUAGGGGCGCACGGGUGGGGAACGCGUGGGUAAUCCGCCCUGGACUUCGGGCUAAGCCUGGGAUACGGGGGCGAAUCCCGGUCAGGUGCCAGUUAGAGCGUGAGGGUUGGGAAGGUUUUUGGGUGUGGGUUGAGCGCGCGGCCGUUGAGCUUGUUGGUGGGGUAAUGGCCUACCAAGGCGGCGACGGGUAGCCGGCCUGAGAGGGUGGACGGCCACAUUGGGACUGAGAUACGGCCCAGACUGCUACGGGGGGCAGCAGUGGAGAAGAUUGAACAAGGGGCGCAAGCGUGAUGUAGCGAAGCCGCGUGGGGGAUGACGGCCUUCGGGUUGUAAACUCGUUUCGCUCGGGACGAAGCUUUUUGUGACGGUACCUAGAUAAGAAGCACCGGCUAACUACGUG
rnacentral:rRNA from 1 species